CGCCAGAACAACGCAUGCAGUGAGUACAGACAGCAGAGAGAAUGCGUGUGUCUUCAGCAAGAAAUAUCGCAGCACAAACAGAAAGAUCACAGGAGUCACUGCACAACUACAGAAUCUGAUCGUCGAGACCUCAUAGAAAAUCUUACAGGUCUUUACACAGAGCAACGGUUUACAAAUGAAUGUUAUGAUACCUUUAUUUGGUUUACCAGCUAUUGUAAGUGAAGUACACAAUACAGAGCAAAGGAUCAACUGUUGUAGACGACUGCAAAGAGAGAAAGCAGAAUCGUGUCAAGAUGUUGACUGAUGAGGUCGCACAGGUGCAGGAGGUGAGAUACUGUCUGAAGACUCUGAGAGAGCAAAUGGCAGCCAGACAAAACAAUAAUAACAAUAAUAAGAUUCCAUCCAAUGGCUUUAAAGUUGACGUUCUUGUCAGCAAAGCCAAUGGCUCCAAUGGAUUGGUGAAUGGCUCUUUCACUAAAUGUCCGGUAAACUAUUUGUCAUAUAAAGAUUAUUCACUUGCGCCAUUAUAAAUACACACAUGAAUAGCAAGAAUGUAUAGGCUACUCACAAACACAAACAAACAGAGACACUCCCAUAGAAAGAGAGCGAAAGCAUUCAGUCCACUUGCUGUAUCACAUUUCAGUGGUUUUGGACAGAAUUGAAUGCCGUAUUGUGAGUAAAAAUAGCCCCUUUCCUCCAUUAAGGGUAUUAAUCAUUCAAUCUCAAAAACUUUUCGAACUAAAAUGAAUAACUUCUCUGUUUGAAAAUGGGAAGUCCUGUUCUCCUGUACAGACUCCCAAAUAAUAAAGAUAAUGGACAGUAGCAGAUACAGUUCAGACUCUUUAAUGAAAAUACGAUGACGUUCAUAGAUAAAUAAUUUGGCCAAAAAACAUUACCACAGUUUUGUUCAUUCUUGUUUCCGUGGUAAUGUGCUGAGAUUUGGGAGCGUACGCACAUUAACCUUUUGCUUCUGCCUGUGAAAAGUCACACCCAUGACAUGAUGCCCUUGGGAGCAGCAAUUGCCAAACUUGUGGCUGCUCAGUAAACAACCCGUCAUUAUGCCUUCAACUACACACCUACAGCGCCUCCCAUGCACACACAGUUUAUUUUUACUUAUUUAAUAAUAAUAAUUUUAUAUUUAUAUAUUAUAAGUCUAUGUUUUAUACCUCCCAUGUUUAUACCACAUCAUUUUGCUUCUUUUUAAAUGCUUUUUAAUAGAUUACAUUUUAUUUUACCCUUGUCCCAGAUUCAGAUUUGAAAAUAUGAAGAUCUAUCAUGAAAAUAUUUUUAUAAAUCGAUUACAUUCUUUAAAUAAAUGUUCUUUUCAAAAAUGUACCAAUUAUAUAAGAAUUUAUGAAAUAUACUGAAUAAAUAUAACUACACAUCUACAGCACCUCCCAUUUGCACAGAGUAUAUUUUUACUUAUUUAAAUAACAAUAAUAAUUUUAGUUUUUUCUACAAGCUAGAGUAAGAAUUGAAAGCAUAUACUAUACAAAAAAUAUACUAUAUAAAAAUUUCCCAUAUAACAAAUAUAUUAAAAGAGAAUAUGUACUAAAUAUAUGUACUAAAUUAUGAUGGAGUGUCCA
rnacentral:lncRNA from 1 species